rnacentral:ncRNA from 2 species
GAUUUAAUAGAUCUCCGAGCAUUUUAACCUCUGUGGUAUCAACGUGGUUUCUGUGCCGAUAGGGUUUGAUUGGAAAUGAUCAGGCCUCCCGAUGGAAAGGAGAAUAUUGCAAUUAACA